GACGAACCGUACAAACGUUAUUCGGAAUCACUGGGCUUAAAGGGUGCGUAGGCGGUGCAGAAAGUAGGGUGUGAAAUCCCUCGGCUCAACCGAGGAACUGCGCUCUAAACUACUGUGCUAGAGGGAGAUAGAGGUGAGCGGAACUUAGGGUGGAGCGGUGAAAUGCGUUGAUAUCCUAAGGAACACCGGUGGCGAAAGCGGCUCACUGGAUCUCUUCUGACGCUGAGGCACGAAAGCUAGGGUAGCAAACGGG
rnacentral:rRNA from 1 species